ACCUGGCACCUCAUCACCCCGUGGGGGUGGGGCUUGGGCUGGUCUGGGCAUGUUCAGGAUCGUCUAAAGGCUGGAGUAAAAAAACUUAAAACAGAUUUAACGGAUCACUUUUCCAGUUCUUCAUUUCUUCACAAAAUAGAGGUACUACCUCCUAGGUGAACUUACAGCAUCUGUAUUGAAUGUUUGAACAGGCUGGAUUGUUGUUUUCAUUGAAUUUUGAAGUUACAGUGAAUAUCUUGAGCAGCCUUACCUGUCCUGUCUAAUUCUGUGAUUAGAGAACAUGUCAAGACCUCCCGAGCCUCAAGUGCUUACACACACAAAACUACAAGAGAGCUGACAGAAACCUGGUGUUCAGGACCUGUCUGUGUGAAUAGCAAGCCAGAAUAGCAAGUUCUGAGGGGCAUGUGAAAGGAAGAACUACUGCAGUGGGCUGAUGAAUUUAGAUUUCAGGACUGGGCUUAGGAGGGGAGGAGGAAGUAAACUUAAAUUUAUAAUUUCUUGAACUGUAACCUGAGAGUGGGAUAAAGUUGAGGUUAUUUUCAGUUGCACACUGCUAAAGAACUGUAUUAUUUUUGUGGCAUGGAGUUCUUCACAUGAAUCCAUCUUUGAAUGUUGAAGAGCGAUAGUAUUAUCUAUCUAACCUACUGCUCUGACGAACCAUCUGUGGAAAAUGAGCAUUAUGGUUCUCUUGAGUUUACUUUUUCCAUACCUCCCUUUCUAAAUCUUAUGAAUAGAUCUGGGAAUUAUUCCUCUAAAUUCUUAUGACUGGAGUGACGAAGCAUGUCUGUACCUGAAUGACCCUGAAUUUCUACUAUAGAAACCUACCAUUUUGAAGUUGUUAUCUCUAGGACUCAACAAUUCCCAAGUAGUCUCUGUUAAGCUGUUCUAUGCUUUCUGUUCUGUCCUGUUCCUUCUCUAGUACAUGUAGAAUUUUAAUACUUGAAAUCAAUUUAAGAGAUUAAGUUUAGAACUCAAGCUAUGAUUGUUUUGUAAGUACUUGAGACACUAAAAUGUUGUGCUCACUGGACUGGUAUAAGAAAUGCCACCGGUGUUAAGUUGUAUGGUCUCAUAUGAUUAUAUGAAAAUGCUCAGUUUUGUGGCAGUUUAAUCCAUAUAAAUAAUUUUUUAAAUUCCUUUUGGCUCUAUUUUAUGUUUCAGUGUUUUACAGGAAUGUAAUUAUGUACUGGCUAAUAGUUAUAUUUGCUGUAGUUUAGCCAAGUGUUUCAGAGUGAAUCUAAUUCUAAAACAUAUAGCCUUUGCAUUAAUUAAUGUUCAUUUAUUUAUACAAAUUACAUGCUGAAGCACGUUGCUGGGUUAUGACUACUGUAGCACAUGCCACUUCUGACUGAGGAGGUAGAUAGGAAUCAGUGCGCAAGAGUUGAAGUCAGCCUCAAAAGGUCUGAAAAACAAAAUUCCCAACAAUUUUUGAGGAAAAAAGUUCUCUCGUACAUGAAAAGCAUAACUGUCCAGGCUCUGUUGAUUUUGUUUUCACAGUUAAUGUCCAUACAUUGUUGAAUGUACAUUCUGUACAGAUGAUACUGUAGGACCUGUGGAAAGAUGCUUGUUCUAUAAUUACAAAUAAUGUUAAAAUUUAAGAAAUCCAAUAUUAAGAUAUGUUAAUACUGGCAGCUCUAUUUUGUUUGGGUAUUCAGAAAAGGAAAAUAGAUACUGUACUUAUUUAAAUAUGAACUUUUUAAUACAAAGCUUCUGCAGGUCACAUUCCAAAGUCACAAAUAUGACCAUGAAAACUUAAGUUUUGCCUUCUGUAUAUAUGCCCACGUAAACAAUUUGCAUUCCCAGACAUUCACAUUGAAUUUGAAUGAAUUAAAACAAAAAUCCUGGCAAAAU
rnacentral:lncRNA from 7 species